rnacentral:rRNA from 1 species
GACGAACGCUGGCGGCGUGCUUAACACAUGCAGGUCGAACGGAAAGGCCCUGCUUUUGUGGGGCGCUCGAGUGGCGAACGGGUGAGUAACACGUGAGUAACCUGCCCUUGACUUUGGGAUAACUUCAGGAAACUGGGGCUAAUACCGGAUAGGAGCUCCUGCUGCAUGGUGGGGGUUGGAAAGUUUCGGCGGUUGGGGAUGGACUCGCGGCUUAUCAGCUUGUUGGUGGGGUAGUGGCUUACCAAGGCUUUGACGGGUAGCCGGCCUGAGAGGGUGACCGGCCACAUUGGGACUGAGAUACGGCCCAGACUCCUACGGGAGGCAGCAGUGGGGAAUAUUGCACAAUGGGCGGAAGCCUGAUGCAGCAACGCCGCGUGCGGGAUGACGGCCUUCGGGUUGUAAACCGCUUUCGCCUGUGACGAAGCGUGAGUGACGGUAAUGGGUAAAGAAGCACCGGCUAACUACGUG